rnacentral:rRNA from 1 species
GACACGCUGGCGGCACGCUUAACACAUGCAAGUCGAACGGAGAUAAUUUGAGUUUACUUAGAUUAUCUUAGUGGCGGACGGGUGAGUAACACGUGAGCAACCUGCCUUUGAGAGAGGGAUAGCUUCUGGAAACGGAUGGUAAUACCUCAUAACGUAGUUUUACCGCAUGAUAGGACUACCAAAGAUUUAUCACUCAAAGAUGGGCUCGCGUCUGAUUAGCUAGAUGGUGAGGUAACGGCUCACCAUGGCGACGAUCAGUAGCCGGACUGAGAGGUUGAACGGCCACAUUGGGACUGAGACACGGCCCAGACUCCUACGGGAGGCAGCAGUGGGGAAUAUUGCACAAUGGGGGAAACCCUGAUGCAGCGAUGCCGCGUGGAGGAAGAAGGUUUUCGGAUUGUAAACUCCUGUCUUAAAGGACGAUAAUGACGGUACUUUAGGAGGAAGCUCCGGCUAACUACGUG